GGCUUCGUAGCUCAGAUGGUUAGAGCGGCAGAUUCAUAUCCUGCAGGUCCCCUGUUCAAUUCAGGGCGAAGCCACCA
rnacentral:tRNA from 1 species